GAAUCCCAGGGGCUGUUGGAGUUGUGGUGGAUCACACAGCACAUGGGCUGUGCUUCUUUCUGUCCCAGAGCAGGUCUCUGAUGGGGCAGCUGGAAGGGUGGGUCGUGGGCCUGGACCAGGGCUUUCUGGUACCUGCUUGGUGCCAAGGCCACUUCUUCGCCUGACAUGAGGCAUCUGUCAGCCAAGGACUCCCAAGGACAUGGCUGAGCCACUCAGAAACACAGCCACUCCCGAGGGUGAAGAGAGCACUUUGGAAGCCAUGUCACCUCCAUGACCAAGACUGGAAGCCAUCUUGCCUUCAGUAACUACGUGGGGACAAUGGGAGCCCAGGACUGGCCCAGGGCCCCCUGGCAAGUCAGUAACUAACUCAGUCGUGACCAUGAAGAAAGAUGUAGUAGCCUGCCCAGAGCGUUCAGCAUGGACCCUUCCCAUCUCUGGUUGGUUGUAAACUGGAUUUGCACCCGGGCAGUGCCUUCUUCUGCCUGGUCUGGAUAUGGAAGAGAGAUAGCAACUGUGCCAAAGAGGAAGGGCGAGUUCAAAGGGCUUCAGAAGCAUCGGACAAUCACUCAGACAGACAGAGGUCAGCUGAGGAAGAUACAGCCCAGGGAAUUUCAUGCCGAUGGUUCAACUUCCCUGUUCCUCCGCAAGUGUCUUCCCACCCCCAUGGCCGCUGUGCUUUGUAGGAUCAAUGGAGAUGUUGCCAAGUUAAUGAGAAGUGCUGGGGCCCCUGACUCUGCCCUGGGCAGUGCCCAGGUGGCCCCAGAAGUCAUCACAGCCAAGUACCUGCACUCCGAGGCCGUUUUGCUGGGGCCGAGUUCUGCUCGCUGUAAAGAUGAGUUCCCAUCAGUCCAAAAUAUAUUAACUCAUCCUGCAAGUAUUUACUGGGUCCUCACUGUGCCAAGUACUAUUCUAGAAUCUGGGGAUGGAUUGCAGUGA
ensembl:lncRNA